AGCAGCCGCGGUAAUUCCAGCUCCAAUAGCGUAUAUUAAAGUUGUUGCAGUUAAAAAAGCUCGUAGUUGAAUUUCGGGACCAAUAUGUUGGUCGUGCCUCGGUACGCACUGGCAUUAUUGGUUUCUCCCUUCUGACGAACUACGAUGCCAUUAAUUUGGUGUCGUAGGGAAUCAGGACUGUUACUUUGAAAAAAAUUAGAAGUGUUUAAAGCAGGCUCGCGCUUGAAUACAUUAGCAUGGAAUAAUGAAAUAGGACGUUUGAUUCUAUUUUGUUGGUUUCUAGGAUCGACGUAAUGAUUAAUAGGGAUAGGUUGGGGGCAUUAGUAUUCAAUUGUCAGAGGUGGAAUUCUUGGAUUUUAUUGAAG
rnacentral:sRNA from 1 species